rnacentral:rRNA from 1 species
CAAUAGCGUAUAUUAAAGUUGUUGCAGUUAAAAAGCUCGUAGUUGGAUUCCUGGUUUGGCCGACCGGUCCUUCCCGCAAGGGUUGCGCACUGUCGUCGCGUCGUACCAUCCUUGGGGAGAGCGACUCCUGCCUUAACUGGCCGGGGCCGGGAUCCCCAUCGUUUACUGUGAAAAAUUAGAGUGUUCAAAGCGGGCUUAGGCUUGAAUACAUUAGCAUGGAAUAAUGAGAUAGGACCUUGGUGGUCUAUUUUGUUGGUUUGCACGCCAAGGUAAUGAUUAAUAGGGACAGUUGGGGGUAUUCGUAUUCAAUUGUCAGAGGUGAAAUUCUUGGAUUUAUGGAAGACGAACUACUGCGAAAGCAUUUACCAAGGAUGUUUUCAUUAAUCAAGAACGAAAGUUAGGGGAUCGAAGACGAUUAGAUACCGU